rnacentral:lncRNA from 1 species
UUCCGACUGUUGUGGCUCAGGGCUCGGUGCGGGGCAGGGAGGUGCUGGCCCUGCUGCCAGGCUUUCCUUUCCAGCCCCACACGUCACCGUCCUCCGAGGGUGCUGGUGUCUCCGGGCUGUGCAGCCACGGGACACACUGGCACCGGAAGGGCAGGUUCGGCUCUGAAAUGGGGGUUAUGGUUGCAGUCAUGGAGAAUUGUCUUUGAUUUGGGCUGAAUGGAGCUAGUUUUUAAAACUCAAGUGUAUAAACUAUGAAAUGGCUGGCUAGGAAAAAGAGCUAGGUGGGAAAUGUAUUUUUUCUGACUUGAGAUUAUUUUGGUCAAGGAUGGGGCUCAAGAUGUGGUCACCCAGGUCCUCGGCUGGAAGCAGGUAUUUGAGGCUCAAAGCAGGACCGCAAACUGAGCCGCCCUUGAGGCUGGGUCUGCCGACUUCCCUGUUGUCUGCCUUUCGAUUCCUUCAGAGGCACCGAGUACAGAAACAUUUCUUCCUGCAGAAAAAGGAAACGGCAGCUCAGGUGCGUGGAUGUGUCAGAGGGAAAAUGACAUCUUUCAACAAGUGAAGUUGAAACGAUGGCUUUGGAAGGACACGUUCCUGUGGAAGUUGUCACAGCGCCCGAUCAGAGGUCUGAUGAAAUGAGUAUCUAACGCUGGGGACAGUCAUGACAUUCACCCGGGCCGUUUUGUGCUUCUCUGUGCACGUGUGUGUGCUGAGCAUAUUUGCAUUUCUCACAUCUUGCACUUCACAGAAGUAGCUCUGGGUCAGUCAGCGCCUUCAAGUUCCAGCACCUGUCGGCCGAGCCCAGAGGUCUCUGCAAGGCUGAAAAAUGAUCAGCUUCCGUGGGAAGGAGCUGGGCAGCCUUAGGAACGUACCGCUCCUUCUGUCAGCCGUGCUGGAAAACACGCAGUGGUUUACAGACUACAGUCGAGUCCCCUAAAGGGGAGCAGCAUAUCAGCUCCCAGGGUUCCUGUUUUUUAAUACAGCCUCAUUAAGGAAAUGCAGAUGCCCUGGCCUGUGGGGAGUGCUGUCAAACUUCCUGUUAGGUUUUAUUGAUGUUUGUGUUGGAGCAGGGGUUAGCAAACCCUGCCCCCAGCCCUUUUGUGUCAAUAAAGUUUUAUUGGAACACAGCCACGCCCAUCAUUUACAUAUCACUUGCAGGUGCUUUUGUAGAUAGGCAGAGAUGAAUAGAUUGGGACCUGCAAGGCCUUUUGAUUAUUUUUGUUUUUGUUUGGUAUCCGGUCCUUCUGACAGUGGAACCACUGAGCUACUGC